rnacentral:rRNA from 1 species
CACGUAGGGUGCGAGCGUUGUCCGGAUUUACUGGGCGUAAAGAGCGCGCAGGCGGUCGUUCAAGUCGCGUGUGAAAGCCCCGGGCUCAACCUGGGAAUGGCGAUGGAUACUGGCGGGCUAGAGUGCGGUAGAGGAGAGUGGAAUUCCCGGUGUAGCAGUGAAAUGCGUAGAGAUCGGGAGGAACAUCAGUUGCGAAAGGCGGCUCUCUGGACCAGCACUGACACUGAGGCA